GACGAACGCUGGCGGCGCGCUUAACACAUGCGAGUCGAGCGAUGAAAUUUCGACAGAUCCCUUCGGGGUGAAGAUGAAAUGGAUUAGCGGCGGACGGGUGAGUAACACGUGAGUAACCUGCCUUUGACAUUGGGAUAGCCUCGGGAAACUGGGAUUAAUACCAAAUGACACUAACUGAUCACAUGAUCAAUUAGUCAAAGAAAUUCGGUCAAAGAUGGACUCGCGGCUGAUUAGCUAGUUGGUGAGGUAACGGCCCACCAAGGCGACGAUCAGUAGCCGGCCUGAGAGGGUGAUCGGCCACAUUGGAACUGAGACACGGUCCAAACUCCUACGGGAGGCAGCAGUGGGGAAUAUUGCACAAUGGGGGAAACCCUGAUGCAGCGACGCCGCGUGAGCGAAGAAGGCCUUCGGGUCGUAAAGCUCUUUUAUGAGGGAAGAUAAUGACGGUACCUAAAGAAAAAGCCCCGGCUAACUACGUG
rnacentral:rRNA from 1 species